CAAGGGGUAGUUUAUAAAAAUAUUAAUUUUGGAGAUUAAAGAUAAAGGUUUCUUUUCCUUUGA
rnacentral:tRNA from 1 species